GUGCUCGCUACGGCAGCACAUAUACUAAAAUUGGAACGAUAUAGAGAUUUGCAUGGCCCCUGUGUAAGGAUGACAUGCAAAAUUUAAUCAAAAUUUGAAUCUCAA